rnacentral:rRNA from 1 species
CCUACGGGAGGCUGCAGUGGGGAAUAUUGGACAAUGGGGGCAACCCUGAUCCAGCCAUGCCGCGUGUGUGAAGAAGGCCCUCGGGUUGUAAAGCACUUUCAGUGAGGAAGAACGCCUGGUGGUUAAUACCCAUCAGGAAAGACAUCACUCACAGAAGAAGCACCGGCUAACUCCGUGCCAGCAGCCGCGGUAAUACGGAGGGUGCGGGCGUUAAUCGGAAUUACUGGGCGUAAAGCGCGCGUAGGUGGCUUGAUAAGCCGGUUGUGAAAGCCCCGGGCUCAACCUGGGAACGGCAUCCGGAACUGUCAAGCUAGAGUGCAGGAGAGGAAGGUAGAAUUCCCGGUGUAGCGGUGAAAUGCGUAGAGAUCGGGAGGAAUACCAGUGGCGAAGGCGGCCUUCUGGACUGACACUGACACUGAGGUGCGAAAGCGUGGGUAGCAAACAGGAUUAGAUACCCUGGUAGUC